UUAUCCAAAAUCAAUUGACCAUAGAUGUGUGUGUUUGAAUUCUUUAUUCUGUUUCAUUGAUUUCUAUAUCUCUUCUUAUACUAAUAUCACACUAUCUUGAUUACUUUUAUAGCAAGUUUUGAAGUCAUGAAAUCAUGUAGUGUUACUAAUGUUCUUUUUCAAAAUUGUUUUGGCUAGUCUAGGUUGUUUGCAUUUCCAUAUACACUUUGGCUUCAGCUAGUCAAUUUCUACCAAGAAAAAAAAAAUCCUGAUUGGAUUUUGGUACGGAUUGUGUUGAAUCUCUAUCAGUUUAGGGGAGAACUAACAUCUUAAUAAUAUUGCUUUACAAGUCAGUGAAUAUAUCUCUCUCUUCAGGUUUUCUUUAAUUUCUUGUAGCAAUCUUUUGUUAGACUGCAGCUUCAUAAGCAAAAUAAAUCUCAUUUUAAGCCACUAAGUUUUGAGGGGUUUGUUAACCAAUAAUAGAUAACUGGAAGAUAUUUUGGUACCUGGAAGUGGGUGCUGCUAUAAAAACCUAUAAAAAUAUGUGGCUUUGGGACUGAAUGGUUUGCUGAAGCUGGAAGGACCUUGAGAAUAUUAUUAAAGUCUAAGGGCCUUGAAGAGACUCAUAGUAGUACUCAUGUAAGCCUUUGAGGUGAUGACUGAAAGGAAACUGAGGAUAACGUUACUGAAAGUGGGAAGAAAAGGGGUAUUUAUUAUGCAGUAGCAGAAAGCUAAGCAACACUAUUAUCUGUACUAAUGUGGAAAAUAGAACUAGAAAAUCAUGGAGAUUUCCAAGGAGAAUGUUGACAAUGCCACCUGGCUUCUAGCUGCCUAUAGUAAAAUGCCAGAUGAGAGUGUUAAGCAACAGAAAGGACAUUUAUGUAUAAAGGAGCCAGAAUUUACUGAGACCAAAAAUAAAACUUUGUCAUUCUAGUCUGUUCAAAUGGCAAAUGAUGCUAAAAUUAAAAAAAAAAAAAAAAAAAAAGGCUUUUGGAUAAAGAUCAAAUCCAAGGCACUGUCAGGAAAAUAAGGGAUAAAGAUGAUGUCAAGGGUAUCAUUCAACUCUUCAAAAAUACUUGAGGGUAGUAUCUCAAUCAGAUAAAUCUGUCUAAGGACCUUAAAGGAAAUGCAUUGCAGAUUGUUUCUGCUAAACAAUAGGGCUUUUAAGAAUGUCAAGGGUGCUUUCCUAUAGCAACCUUACAGGAAAGUUAGGGUCUUCAUAAAUGUGUGGGGAUAGCUUUUGUCUAAUGGAGUGAACCCCAAUAUGAUUUAUAGGAGACCCACAAAGUUUUAAGCAAGGCGUACUUGCAGAAACACUGUCAACUUGGACUAAAAAGGACAGAGACAAUACAACAUGAAGUGAGGGCUUUGGACUUCUGAAGUACUACUGGCAGGAAGCAGGGUGAAAAAACUACUCAGCUGCAAAUGUCAGCAUUUUUUUAUGGAAAAAGAUAACUCAGGGUAGAAAUAUGGGCUCACAUAGUAGAGCUAGGAAUGCUAUACUGCAUUCCUAGACAGCAGGCCUGAGUUAAGGAACUAACUAACAUGUGCCUGGCCGAAUUACAGAAUGGGUGUGGACAAGUGACUCCUGGUUGCCUCUCCUUUUCUCUCUUUUCAGUGGGAAGGUCUAUGCCUCUUCUACCAUAUGUUUGUGUUUGGAGGACAGACAUAUAACUUGUCUCUUUAGGUCACCAGGUUUUUAGAUUGAGAAUAGCUAUACUUCAUGAGGUGUGCUUGAUAAAUGGCAUCUAAGGAGACUGAUCCACACCUAGAUGAGAUACUGAAUUUUGAGCCUAGCCUUGAUGCUGUAACAGGUAAGACUUUUGCAGUGGUGAAGUUGCCUAAGAAAGUGGAGUGUAUUUUGCAUGUAAAAGGAAUGUAAAAAUUUGUGGCCAAAGGGUAUGUUUGUAAUUUACUUGACACUCCUUCCACAGAAGGUGAAGUCUAAGUGCCCUUCCCCUGCUAUGCGUGAGCCUUAGUGACUUGCUUCUAUAGUAACAAGCAAAAUGAGGCAGAAAUGAUGUUGCAUGACUUCCAAGGCUAUGUCAUAAAAGGUGAUAUAAUUUCCAGCGGGCAUCCUCUUUUUCAGGACACAUGCCUUGAGUGUCCUGAGCUGCCAUUUAAGAAGCCUGGCUACCCUAAAGCCUCUAUGCUGGAGAAUCUAUGUGGAGGUAUCAUAGAGAGAGUAACAGUAAGAUGCCUAAGAAGCCCCAGCUUUCCCUGCCCCAGGCUUUUGGGUCUUUUCAGCCUCAGAACCAGAUAUGUAUAUAAGUGAAUGAACCAGCACCCCAGCAGCCCCAGCCAACACGGAUUAGGAAUGAGCUAUCCCUGCUAGCCCUGUUCACAUUUCAUAUUUAUGAUAAACAUGUGUUGUUUUAAGCACCUUAAAGUUCUGAGGUGGUUUGCUACACAGGAUUAGAUAACUGGAAAUUAACCUUUUACAUGUCUUAUUCUCCUUACUGCUACAUUUACUAUUAAGAGGCAGAACCUGUUUUGCAUGACUUUGUUUUUUAAUACACACACACACACGGCCCCAAAUAGUGUUUUUUUCACAUAGUGUACACUCAAUAAAUCCAGUUGGUGAUAUUAAAUGGUUUGGAGUACAACCCAGAAUACAUACAUCUGGUUCUUUUAAAGCAGCUCCAUUCUAGCAAUAUAGUUGGAUCACUUUACAUUUCCUCUUGAAACUUUAUUCUUGUUGCUUUGUUUACCUUAGGUUACUUUCUGCCUUUGGCUCUAGUUCAUAUUCUAGUACCUUGUAUCUCUUUCACUUCAUCUUGAUUUUUUUACUCCUUAACCUAAUUUUUGCCUCAUGGCCUGAUGAUGUUAAUUAUAAAAUGUAUUGAGCUAUAUGUAAGUUUCGUAAGGUCAAGAGCCACUGUAUCCCUUGGAACAGUGCCUAGUACAUAGUAAACAUUGGGUUGAUUGAUCUUAACUAUGUGAGAGACACUGAAGUAACUUAUAUACACAGUCUCCUUUAAUCCUCAUAACACAUUAUGAAAAUGUAUUAUGUCAGUUUUACAGAUCAGAAAAUUGAAGUUUCAAUUAAUGAAGUGACUUUCCCAAGGUAGCUCUGUCAACAGUAGAGACAGGAUUCAAAUCAAAGAGAUGGGGUCUGACUCUGUCACUCAGGCUGAAGUGCAGUGGCAGGAUUAUUGCUCACUGAAGCCUCAAACUCUUGAAUUCAAGUGAUCCUGCGGUGUCAGCCUCCUAGUAGCUGGGACUACGGUAUAAUGAGGUCAAUGUUUACAGCCAGUUCCAUAAAGUAUUUCCAGACAAUAAAUUUCCUCAAUAUUUAUUUAAGGGUGAUUUGGCAACUGCUGUUAAAUGAUGGACAAAUUUCAAACAUCAUGGGAAUAGCUGUAUGUAUCCUUAAACAUGUUAGCUGAACAUAUUUUUAAAAUCCUGAAGGGUGAAGAAAGUAUAAGAAGUGUUUGCCAGAAUUCUUAAUCUACAAAUUCUUCUUUUGCUCUUUCUGUAAAGAUAUACUUAACAAUUAUUUAUAGAGGGCUUACUGUGUGCAAAUACCUAGAUGCUAUGGGAGAUACAAAUUCAUUGAGACAGUUCCCUUUUUAAUGACUUUUUAAUUUAAUAGUGAGUUCAUCCCCUUAUUCAUUCAGCCAUUUAAUCAAUAAAUAAUAUUGAUUGAGUACCUAUUGAGUACAGGCAUUGUGAAAGCAGUGAUUACCCAUUAGAAGAAAAUAAGCUAGAACUGAUCCCUAGCCUUCUAAGAAUUGCAGUCUACUAGGAGCUACCAUAUAAAAUACAGUAGAACAUUGUGAUUGAAUUAUUUAUAGAAAUUAAGUUAAAAUAUACCACUUUUGGCUAGGAUGCUCAGGUAAGGCUUUCUUGACGUUAUACUUUCAGAUACUUUUAAGUCACUAUAUGAAAUAAAUGCUCAGAGGCUUCAGUUUUGAAAUGAAUUAUAUAAGAGUAAUAGAAACCAAAGGUAGUCCAGUAGAUUGUAAAAUGGUCAUAAUUCUUACUCCUUUCUAUAUUCAUACAUGGUACAAUAUGAUGUUGCAUUUUCUUUCAUCAAGAAGUGGAAUCUGUUUCUCUACCUCUGGUAUUUGGGUGGACGUUUUGACUUGAUUUUGCCCAUAAAAUAUAGCAUAUGUGAUGAUGUGCCAGUUCUGAGCCUAGGCCUCAAGCGUGCAUGCUUUUUCUGUCUUUCUUAGAAUUCUCCUCAGCUGCCAUGAAUAAGGUUAGGAAAUCCAUCUGAAAGAUGAGAGACCAGGUAGAUGUGCCAUCCCAGCCGAGGCCAUCUUAGACAACUAUCAUGCAGCCAAUCCAGAAACUGACCUCAUGCAUUAGUGAGAUCAGCAGUGACCACAAGUACCACCCACAUGGGCCCAGUUGAAAUUGACAACCCACCAAAUUGUGAACUAAAUAAAUAUUUAUUGAUUUAAACUCCUACAUUUUAGGUGGUUUAUUACAUAGCAACUAGGUGACAUGCCAGUUAAUCAAAAUCUUCCUAAUGCUUUAGAGUGUGUGGGGGGGUAGCAUCGUUAAUUCAUGGAAGUGCAUAUAGGAAACAAUAUUUCAAUUACCAAGCCCUUAAUACUAUUUGUAUAAUAUACACAUUUUUUUUUGUAAUAUUUUUAGCAAGCCAACUUUCUUUCCUGUGUUGAAUUCCUAUGGCAAAUAUGGAGUUAGGAUUUAGAAUACGCACAGACUAUAUUGCUUUCCAAAAAAGUUGUAUCAAAUUAAUAGGGAAUAGGUAUCCAUUUUCACUAAAAUAAUGUGUUAUAAAUUUUUAGUGAGUGUUUUGUUUUGAUUUGGAGGGGGCCACUUUCGUAGGUAUAGGGGAUACACCAAAGUUUUAUUCACUUGCAUCUUAGGAUCACUUACAAAAAUAGUUUGUGAUCAGGAAUAUGAAUGGGCCAGAGAGAAUCAUUGAGAACCUGCGCUUUGCUGUGGUUAAAGAAAUAGUAUAGUGAGGAAGAAAGAAUGGGAGAUUAGGAGUCCAAACAACUGUAUGUACUCAGAAAAUAUAAUUUCCUUUGCAUUUUUAGAAGGUUAUUUUUUUUCUUCACAAAUUUUUUCUUGUUUCCCCAAAUUAAGAGGUAAUGUUAAAAAUCAGCUGUUUGACUCUGUUUUACAACAAAGUUAAAGCCAAUUUUUAUUUCCUUGUAAAAGAACAUCUGAUUUGUAUUGUCUGAAUAAAUUAUUUUUUAAAACUUAAUGUGCACAAUCAUUUCAUGAACAAAAUGCCCUUUUACAUUCUUAAACAUGUUAAUAUGUAGAAAACACUAAUAAAAAAUCAUUUCAGGUUUUCUUAAAAUUUCUAUAUUUUUCCUUGAAACAGUUAUUUUUCUUAUGUCUUCAGAAUUUUCAUUAAAUUUACAGCUGCAUUAUUCUGUCAUUCCAACCUGAUAUGAGUCAGCUCCUUUCCUUUUUAAAAAUAACUUAAAUAGGACCUACUAUAAUCCUGGGGACAUAGAGCAUAUCAGAAGAUUUCAACCAGCCUGAUCAUAAUCUUAUCAGAGAAUAUGAUGAGAAAUGUUUCAUCUCCAUUUUCCUGAGGAGGGUAAGUUAUACUGAGGAGAGAAGAAUUUUAUCAUGUGAUUCAUUUCACAGGGCUGGAUUAUGCAGUGGUGUAGAGGUAGCAGUCAGUACAGUGACUAUUAACAUUUUAUGAUUUACGCUGAGUGGAUGGCUUUUGAAAAGGUUCCACUUGUCAGGUUCCUUUCCACAGUUAAAUACCUUUUUUUAUUUUUCAAGGAAGAGGUUAUGUAAUUGCCAGAUAUACCUAUGCUAUAUUUAUUAAGUGUGCUGAUAAAUAAACUCUAACAUCUAACAACUUGAGGCCUGCCUUACUAGCACCUUCAGAUUUCCUGAGAUUGCUGAUUAAACCUCAGAAAUGAAGGUAAUUUGUUUUUUGUUUCUAAAGGUACUUCUGUCUUGGAGCUCAAGAUAAGGUGAAGAAGUCCACUGCCAAUGAAAACCUCAGACAAGGCUUCAGUCUCUUCUGUUCAUUUGUCUAGUAGCUUCUCCUGGUAGGAAAUGGCUUCUUAAAUUGUGUAAAAAGGUGUUGUGUUUACUUCAGCUGGAGUUUUUCAAACUAUAUUUUUCAGAGUUGAUGAAGCUUAUUAGGUUUCUGGUCUGGCACAUAAGAACCUUGGAAGUCAUACUCUGUACUAGCAAGUAAAAAGCUGAACAAACUGAAAAUCAAUAACUGUCUGUGUGAGAAGUGAAGUCAUAGGACAAUCACUGCCCCCCAAAUUAAAGAAACAGACAGACAGAGAGAAUCACAAUUUACUGGAGCAGAAAACGCACAAACAGAAACCUCCACUGGAACCAGUGGCUGAGAAGGAAAAACCUAAACUGUAAUUGACAAAUUGCUGGAAGCUCAGUGUGAGCAAGUCUGAGAG